rnacentral:misc_RNA from 1 species
GAAAUGCGAUACGUAAUGCGAAUUGCAGAAUUCAGUGAAUCAUCAAAUCUUUGAACGCAAAUUGCGCUUCUGGGUAGCCCUAGGAGCACGCCUCUCUCAGUAUCGGUUCAACCAUCUCUCAGCAGCGUGUUUGCAAAAUUUAUUUUUUGUUUAUUCGUGUUGGCUGGAUAAUGAGAGUC